CAAUAGCGUAUAUUAAAGUUGUUGCAGUUAAAAGCUCGUAGUUGGAUUUCUGUUCUCGAGGAUCGGUCCGCCUCACGGUGAGCACUGGUUUUUCUUGGGGACAUCCUCUCGAAGGCGGGUGGUGCACUUAAUUGUGUGCUGCUUGGAUUCGGGACCUUUACUUUGAAAAAUUAGAGUGUUCAAAGCAGGCAGUACGCCUGAAUAAUGGUGCAUGGAAUAAUGGAAUAGGACCUCGGUUCUAUUUUGUUGGUUUUCGGAACUUGAGGUAAUGAUAAAGAGGGACAGACGGGGGCAUUCGUAUUACGGUGUUAGAGGUGAAAUUCUUGGAUCGCCGUAAGACGAACUACUGCGAAAGCAUUUGCCAAGCAUGUUUUCCUUAAUCAAGAACGAAAGUCAGAGGUUCGAAGACGAUCAGAUACCAU
rnacentral:rRNA from 1 species